rnacentral:lncRNA from 1 species
CCCGUUUUGACUCUGGUGUUGCCUGAAAAGAAUAGCAGCAGCUAAAGCCUGUUCUUGAAUCAAAGAAUCAGUACUAUCUUUACGCUGUGAUCGGAUCCGGGUCCACCGAUUACUUGAAUUGGGUAAGGAUUGUGAGUUAUGAUUAUUAUUUCCCGGUAAACGUUUUGUGGGUUUCUUCUUUUUUACUGUUUUGGGGGCGAAACAAGUGCAAAGAUUGCCCAUUGUUUGUUUUUGUUCAUGUAGCAGUUACAAAAGAGAAAAACUUACAAAGAAACUAUUUUUAUAUGUGUAUAUAUAUACAUGUGAUUCUUAUUUAUAUUUCUCUUGUUAACAAGGAUUUUGGUUCUGAAAGAAGUGAAAUGGAGGGAGAUAAGAAAAGGGUAAAAGACUAAUUCAGGUGGCGGCGCCAGUGAUGGUGGAGGCGGAGGCGGAGGCGGAGGCCGCGGCGGCUGGUUUGUUAGUGAUGAGAGUUUUAAGGGGUUUUAUAGGAACUGUCAUGUUUGUUUUGAUGACAAAGAAGGGACUUUUGUAGUUGUUGAGCAUGGUGUGUGCUUUAUUCGUGUUAUAUUUUCUUAAUUAGUAGACAUUUUUUAUUAUUUAAUUAAAG